rnacentral:rRNA from 1 species
CGGCGUCCGCAUUGUAAUCUCAAGAAGUGUUUUCCGCUUCGGACCAUGCCUAAGUCCCUUGGAAAAGGGCAUCAUAGAGGGUGAUAAUCCCGUACAUGGCAUGGAGCGCCCGAAGCUUUGUGAUACGCUUUCUAAGAGUCGAGUUGUUUGGGAAUGCAGCUCAAAAUGGGUGGUAAAUGCCAUCUAAGGCUAAAUAUUGGGGAGAGACCGAUAGCGAACAAGUACAGUGAUGGAAAGAUGAAAAGAACUUUGAAAAGAGAGUUAAACAGUACGUGAAAUUGCCAAAAGGGAAGGGUAGGAGGUCAGAGAUGCGGCCUAGGAUUCAGCCUUGCUUUUGCUUGGUGUUUUUCCUAGAUUGCAGGCCAACGUCGGUUUUGGGCACUGGAGAAUGGUGGAAGGAAUGUGGCACCUCUCGGGGUGUGUUAUAGCCUUCUACUGGAUACAGCGACCGAGACCGAGGACAGCAGCGUACUCGCAAGAGCGGGCCUUCGGGCACCUUUACGCUUAGGGCGUUGGCAUAAUGGCCCUCUACCACCCGUCUUGAAACACGGACCAAGGAGUCUAACAUGUAUGCGAGUCUUUGGGUGGCAAACCCAUAGGCGCAAUGAAAGUGAAUUCAGGUGGGAUCCGCAAGGUGCACCAUCGACCGA